GUAUGAAGUAACAAGCCAAAAGAUUCUAGGUAUUCAUGUGGAAGAGAGGCUGUAGUGGUGGUGGUGGCGGUGGUGGUAUUUAUGUAGGGUGACGGGAGAUGUUUAAAAACCAGUGGGCACAGGGCUGGCUGGGAGGAACCAUAUGACAUGUGGUAGAGAAGAGAGGAAGAAAAGAGAGAGAGAGAGAAAAAGAAUGAAGACAAAAAAACAAGUAACUGGAACAGAACAGCUGAGGAGGAAAUGCUAAGUGGCAAAAUGUAACAGAAGAGUAGAUCUCUCUGAGCGGCCAUGGACUCAUCAAGGAGACCCUGCAGUGUUUUGAUGCCAGGCAUAUCGGAGGGACAGCUCCACAUGGCUCUGGAUAAGGAACUGGGAAGAGGAAUGAAUUUCUACCAACCAAAGCAAGAGAGAGAUCUCUUGUAAAGGUAUGGGGGAUACCUGUGCUAUUGUGCUUUUGGGGUUGUAGCUCUCAGGGGGGGUUCCCUGGGUGCAGAGAUAGCACCUGCUAACAAGUCUGUUUGACUAGGGAGCAAAUCCCCAACUUCUAUCAACUAUUGAGUGUGCUGAACCUCCAAAUCUGUUAGAGUACCAAGACUCAAGGGAUCUUUUAACUUUAGCAUUGUGCUAUAUGAAC
rnacentral:lncRNA from 1 species